UGGGUUGUGGCUCAGUGGUAGAGCUCUCACCUAGCAUAUGUGAAGCACUGGAUUUGAUCCCCAGUACCACAU
rnacentral:tRNA from 1 species